GGCAAUUUUUUCGGGCUUGGAGCUAGGUGCGGAUGCAAUGUGGCUCUCGAUAGCACCUUAUGGGUAGUUGUGUCCCAAAGGAAGGAUGAGAAUAGCUGCUGAAGUCCUAAAGAGCAAGCCUAACUCAAGCUGUUGGCACACAGGCAUUACACAGAAAGCUGGAAGUUGAAAUGGUGGAGUCCAACUUGCCUGGACCAGCUUUAUGGGUUCUGCUGGUAACGUUUUUAUCCAUGGAU